GAGUCACUUUUUAGUGCUGCCAAGGAAGUCCUCUGGCUAUCACAAUUUGAUUUCAAUAGACAAUUGAUCAGCUCCCACCCCUGCAGAUGGCUCCUUCAUGAAGAUCUCCCCAUUUGGAACACAACAUCUGUUUCCUGCUGGGACCCUGACUGACACAAGGGUCAAAAUAAGCUCCUCCAUGGGAAGCAUUGAGAGAGGCAGAAAAUAAAGAGAAGGAAGAUAAUACUAUCCAUUCAUUGCAGUCGUCUAUGUGCUAAACACUGUGUGAAGCAUUUUGCAUGUAUUCAAUAAAUAUUUACUCAAUGCUUUCAGUUCAUAUUCUGGCCCUACCGCUCAUAAUUCCUUAUUAGAUAGUAGCUACUAUUUCUCCAAAACAACAGGAUGAAAUGUAAACUGAGUGUCCGGUGGCCAAACCAAGGCCUCCUCUUCCCUUAUUCAGGGAAGUGUUUUUAUCAGCUUCUUUCUAACACAGACCAUUUUCCUGCAGUAACAUGAAAGGCACUGCACGCGCAUUUUCAUAGCGGGGGAUGUUGAGGGAAGUCUAGACUCAGACAGUACUGAUAUGGGCUGCGUGGGUGAGGUGGUGGAUAAGCAGUCUGGGAUUCCUCAGAGAAGGAUGCAAAACAGAGGGCAAAGGACACUGAAAGCAAACUUGAGACAAUUAAAACUCCAAGAUUUCAUCAAGGGCUGGCCUUGGUUUUGGCUACUCCACAGGUGCUGGGUGACGGGUGCGGUUCUCCCCCUGGACCAUCUCUCUGGGCUUAGCAGCUUGGAGUGCUGCGUGGGGUGUUGAGAUUCACGCAGUCACAUCCCUCCUUCUCAGAAUGUGUAGCACCCACUCAGGAAGCCAGCAUGACAGGGCCAGGUGCAUUUGCCACCUGGGCAGAGGAGACCUUAACUGCACCUUCCUUCUUUCCCCACUUGAGGGAUCUCCUCACAGGUGGCAUGCUUUCUUUUCAUCUUCAUUCUCAGUCUUUCAGAGCACAGUGUUGUAGCUACCAAGUCAUUGGCCGCUGUGUUGAGUGGCCGAUGACCUGCUAGCUUAAUUCACAAGAAGCCAGUUUUCAGAGGUAGGUGCACUUAUGUUUGCUCAAAAAGGCAGCAAUGGUACUCUGAGAGAACUUUAUUCAUUGUAUCUGGUCCCUAUUUGCCCAAUUUUAUGGAUUUUCUUUAAAAUUCCUUCCAUAAUUCUUGACCUUUGGACUAUAACUUCAAAUGAUUAUAGACACUGGCCUGUGCUGUCUCACCUUUCUUUUUAUAUAUGAAAAUGAACAGUACAAAGCACAGACCCAGGUCUUAAAAUAAAUAAGCUCAUUCAAAAGAAAUCAAGCUACAAUUAAGUGAAGACAUAUUACAAAUUUAAGAACAUCACCAUCGCACUAGCAGCACAUUAAGGCCACCAGUGCUCAAGGAUCUUGGCUAUCCCAUUGCUUUGACAUUGAGCCUGGGCAAUGGCGGGCGCCCCUCCCCCAGCCUCGCUGUCGCCUUGCAGUUUGAUCUCAGACUGCUGUGCUAGCAAUCAGCGAGACUCCGUGGGCGUAGGACCCUCCGAGCCAGGUGCGGGAUAUAGUCUGGUGGUGCGCCGUUUUUUAAGUCGGUCUGAAAAGCGCAAUAUUCGGGUGGGAGUGACCCGAUUUUCCAGGUGCGUCCGUCACCCCUUUCUUUGACUCGGAAAGGGAACUCCCUGACCCCUUGCGCUUCCCAGGUGAGGCAAUGCCUCGCCCUGCUUCGGCUCGCACACAGUGCACACACCCACUGGCCUGCAUCCACUGUCUGGCACUCCCUAGUGAGAUGAACCCGGUACCUCAGAUGGAAAUGCAGAAAUCACCCGUCUUCUGCGUCGCUCACGCUGGGAGCUGUAGACCGGAGCUGUUCCUAUUCGGCCAUCUUGGGUCUGGAUUCGGCAUUACAUGUCUUAACGGGAAAAAUCAACUCAAGAUGGAUUAAGGACUUAAACCUAAGACUUGAAACUAUAAAAAUUCUAGAAGAUAACAUUGGAAAAACCCUUCUAGACAUUGACUUAGAUAAGUAUUUCAUGACCAAGAACCCAAAAGCAAAUGCAAUAAAAACAAAGAUAAAUAACUAGGACCUAACUGAACUAAGAGCUUUUGUGCAGCAAAAAGAACAGUCAGCAGAGUAAACAGACAACCUACAGAGUGGGAGAAAAUCUUCACAAUCUAUACAUCUGACAAAGGACUAAUAUUCAGAAUCCACAACAAACACAAAUCAGUGAAAAAAUCCUAUCAAAAAGUGGGCUAAGGACAUAAAUAGACAAUUCUCAAAAGAAGAUAUACAAACGUCCAAUAAACAUGCAAAAAAUGCUCAACAUCACUAAUGAUCAGGGAAAUGCAAAUCAAAACCACAAUGUGAUAUCACUUUGCUCCUGCAAGAAUGGCCAUAAUCAAAAAAUUGAAAAACAGUAGAUGUUGGCGUGGGUGUGGUGAUAAGGGAACACUUCUACACUGAUACAUGAUUCAGAGAAGAGCUAAAGAUGUUUCCAGUUCCAGGGAACUUUGAUAGGAGAGUUGUGAGUUUACAUCACAGAUAAAUCCUCAUUUGAUCAACAAGUAUUCGUUAGCACUUGCUAUAUUCCACUCUUCGAAGGUACUGGCCAUAUAACCUUGAACAAACAAGAGUUUUACUUUCUUAGAGCCUGUAGUACGUAAUUCCAGAUAAUGGUGAUAAAUGUCAUAAGAGAGGACUAGCAAAGCACUCAGUAAAUUUAGAAAGCAAGGAGCACAUCCAUCCAGGAAGCUUUCAAGGAGAAGAUGGGCCUUAAAGUAAAGGCAGGGGUCUGCCAGCUAAAGAAAGGGUCUAAGGCUUCCAGGUACUACUCUGCCUUUGGACUGACUCAUGGCCUUGAACCUUCUCUCCCCGUUUUAAUUUCCUCACUCUUAAGAAAGUACACGAGUGAUGGAAAGAAUUCUGUUAGAAAAUGACUUGAUAGAAUACAGAAUGAGCUCCGAGGGAGGGAGAAUUUAACCACUGCCAUAGAUAGGUGCUGCCACACAAAGUUGUUGUGAGAAGUAAUUAGUCUGGCGGAUCUGGGGAAGAAUGUUGAUUUGUUGAAUCAACAAUUAUUUAUUGGGUACCUACUACAUUACCAGUGACAAAGACUUUCCCUUGACCAAAACUUUAGUCAGGCUCCUCUGAGUCCUCUGAUUGACCUUGAACUUCCCCCUGUGUCCUUAUAGAAUCCCAUUUGAGCAACAAUCCUCCUAAGUCAGGUUAGAAAAAAUUCUCCACCCUUGGAAUUCCUUGAUAUCUUAUCACCCUGGCCUGCCUUCGGCCAUAAUCCUAUCAAGUUGAUUUAGCCAGAAAACCUUUAUCCUUGAUAUUUCCUGUUAGUAAUUU
rnacentral:tRNA from 10 species